rnacentral:rRNA from 1 species
GGUGAGUAACACGUGGGAACCUACCUUCUGGUACGGAACAACCAAGGGAAACUUUGGCUAAUACCGUAUACGACCUCCGGGUGAAAGAUUUAUCGCCGGAAGAGGGGCCCGCGUCCGAUUAGGUAGUUGGUGAGGUAAAGGCUCACCAAGCCGACGAUCGGUAGCUGGUCUGAGAGGAUGACCAGCCACACUGGGACUGAGACACGGCCCAGACUCCUACGGGAGGCAGCAGUGGGGAAUAUUGGACAAUGGGCGCAAGCCUGAUCCAGCCAUGCCGCGUGAGUGAUGAAGGCCUUCGGGUUGUAAAGCUCUUUCACCCACGACGAUGAUGACGGUAGUGGGAGAAGAAGCCCCGGCUAACUUCGUGCCAGCAGCCGNGGUAAUACGAAGGGGGCAAGCGUUGUUCGGAAUGACUGGGCGUAAAGGGCGCGUAGGCGGUUCNUUGCNUCAGAUGUGAAANCCCCGGGCUCAACCUGGGAACUGCAUUUGAUACGGGCGGGCUUGAAUCCAAGAGAGGGUGGUGGAAUUCCCAGUGUAGAGGUGAAAUUCGUAGAUAUUGGGAAGAACACCAGUGGCGAAGGCGNCACCUGGCUUGGUAUUGACGCUGAGGCGCG